CCCUGGUUGGUGUAAUAGUAGCACACCGGGUUGUCACUUGAAACGAGUAUAUUCAGUCCAAACCCCGUUAGGGGAGUCGGAAGUCCAGGUUCGAAUCCUGGAUCAGGGG